CCAGAAGUCCGCAACAUCACUUUCUAAGAAAUUGAUCCGCAAAGGUUCCAAGAGCUCUAAGGAAAUAUCCCUGCAGGUGAUCGAUGCUCUGUCCAAUAAGCCCCGUCACAUGCUUCUAUUGCUGGAGCUCUAGGAUCUUCACUUGUAGAAUCUGCACCUCCUUCUUCUAGUAUUUUAGCGAAACGUCCUCAACCCGAAUCUCAUUAAAUAUAAGAUUUAUUAAUUAGAGAAAGUAAAAUGGAUACCUUUCGCAAACCUCUAUCCGGAAGGAGGUGUUGGCCACAGGCCAUUCCAAAAAGCAUUCCUUGUUUCCUCGCCACACAUAAUCUCACUAGCAAACAUUUCAGCUUUAAACCGUGC
rnacentral:lncRNA from 1 species